GGGGGGGGGGGGGGGGGGGCGUGGGGGGUGGGGGGGGGGGGAGCGGACGGGGGGCGGGCUCCUCUGGCGUUAGCGGCGGACGGGUGAGUGACACGUGGAGCACCUACCUAUAAGACUGGUAUAACUUCUGGAAACCGGAACUAAUCCCGGCUACUAUAUUGAACCGCAUGGUUCACUAGUUACAGGAGGUUUUGCUGUCCCUUAUAGCUGGCUCCGCGCCGCAUUCGCUAGUUGUUAAGGUACCGGCUUACCAAGGCGACGAUGCGUAUCCGACCUGAGAGGGUGAUCGGCAACCCGGGAACUGAGACACGGUCCAGACUCCUACGGGAGGCAGCAGUAGGGAAUCUUCAGCAAUGGGCGAAAGCCUGACGGAGCAACGCCGCGUGAGUGAUGAAGGUCGUCGGAUCGUAAAACUCUGUUAUUAGGGAAGAACAAAUGUGUAAGUAACUAUGCACGUCUUGACGGUACCUAAUCAGAAAGCCACGGCUAACUACGUG
rnacentral:rRNA from 1 species